rnacentral:rRNA from 1 species
CCUACGGGAGGCAGCAGUGAGGAAUAUUGGUCAAUGGGGGAAACCCUGAACCAGCAACGCCGCGUGAGGGAAGACGGUUUUCGGAUUGUAAACCUCUGUCCUCUGUGACGAUAAUGACGGUAGCAGAGGAGGAAGCUCCGGCUAACUACGUGCCAGCAGCCGCGGUAAUACGUAGGGAGCAAGCGUUGUCCGGAUUUACUGGGUGUAAAGGGUGCGUAGGCGGCUUGGCAAGUCAGGAGUGAAAUGCAUGGGCUUAACCCAUGAACUGCUUUGGAAACUGCAGCGCUUGAGUGGAGGAGAGGUAGGCGGAAUUCCCGGUGUAGCGGUGAAAUGCGUAGAGAUCGGGAAGAACACCAGUGGCGAAGGCGGCCUGCUGGGCUCUAACUGACGCUGAGGCACGAAAGCGUGGGUAGCAAACAGGAUUAGAUACCCGGGUAGUC